rnacentral:rRNA from 1 species
UAGAGUUUGAUCAUGGCUCAGGAUGACCCCUGGCGGCGUGCCUAAUACAUGCAAGUCGAACGCACAGCGAACGGUGCUUGCACCUUUCAAGUGAGUGGCGAACGGGUGAGUAACACGUGGAUAACCUACCUCAAGGUUGGGGAUAACAUUUGGAAACAGAUGCUAAUACCGAAUAAAACUUCGUAUCGCAUGAUACAAGGUUAAAAGGCGCUACGGCGUCACCUAGAGAUGGAUCCGCGGUGCAUUAGUUAGUUGGUGGGGUAAAGGCCUACCAAGACAAUGAUGCAUAGCCGAGUUGAGAGACUGAUCGGCCACAUUGGGACUGAGACACGGCCCAAACUCCUACGGGAGGCUGCAGUAGGGAAUCUUCCACAAUGGGCGAAAGCCUGAUGGAGCAACGCCGCGUGUGUGAUGAAGGCUUUCGGGUCGUAAAGCACUGUUGUAUGGGAAGAACAGCUAGAGUAGGGAAUGACUUUAGUUUGACGGUACCAUACCAGAAAGGGACGGCUAAAUACGUGCCAGCAGCCGCGGUAAUA